UGGAGCGAGAGCAAACAGAGCAAGCUGUGUCUUGCCCACCAUCUCUGUAAAGCAAAGCACAGGCUCGGAGUUUGCCAACAGAAACUCACUCUUUCUGACUUUCCUGGAACUGAGGGUUUUCCUGGGAGAGCAGGGACAAACAGGUCAUCUGAUUUGUAGGGCAGCUAUACAAAUCCAGCUGUGGGCUUUGGUGCUGUAGACCCUUCACCCCAGGUGACUUGACAGCUGCUGGCUGGGCUCAUAGCUGUUACAAAAGGCCACCCACAUGAAGCAGGGGGCGGGGACAGCUGGAGCUCUCAACUAUGACAGAGGACUGUGGCUGGGUCACACUGGCUCGAGGUCUGAGUGAUCCUGGAGCAGCUUCCGUCUUCCCAGAGUGGGAGGUUUGGAAGCCCAGAACUGCCCAGAAGUUUGAUCUCUGAAGGUAACACCAGAGCGCCGGAGAAUGGAGCGGCUGCACCAGCCUCACAGUGUAGAAAGGUGGAGAGGAGCAGAAGGCAGAGGAGGGGUGAAGGGCAACCCCCAGGACCUCAAAUGAAGACGCUGUGUCCUGUGUCUUUAUUACUUGGGCUCAGGAACUGGGAAUGGCCAGUUGGGUAGAGGAAGGAUCAAAUGGACAGCAGCUGCCUCACGCAUUUCAAGGAAUUCUCUGCGGUGUUUGCACUUGAAUGAGGAUAAUUUGGUCAGAUUAGGAAACAGUGUAUCAUUUGUGCUUAGCAAAUUAGGGCAAUUAUGUACACAGGUUCAUGAACACAGGUGAAGGAAAGAUACAUCAAACUGGAAAAAGCAGUUGGAUUGCUGAGGUGAAGAGUACUGAGAAUUGAACCAAGGACCCUGCCACUGAGCUACAUUCCAUUUUGUAAUUCUGUAUAAACUGCCCAGGUUGGGCUAGAACUUGUGAUCCUCCUGCCUCACUCAGCCUCCCAAAGUCCUGGCAUUACAGGAGUGCACCAUCAUGCCUGCUUCGUGCAAUUAAAAAAGAAAAAGUUUAGAUCUGAAGUGAAAUCCAUGAAUGCAGGAUGUGUGGGUGUGGGCGGCCAAUGGUGCUACCGGGAGAAGUAGUGACCCAUCCACGCUGCUGGAAUCAGCUGACCUCCACCUAUCACGCAGGCAGGGAGAAGGGAGGCCUAUGGGAGAGGAGAAAGUUGGAGCCAAAUUGCUGGCCUGCUUCGCCACAGCCUUACAUUUCCAGCACAGUGGGAAGUGGGAGCUAUCGGGAGAAAGAGAGAGAGGCUUGGAGUCAACAUUUACCCAGCUAAGAUGUGUAAGCCCCUGGCAGAAAUCUCCAGCAGCCAAGAGCUCAAAUCCUGGGACUAACACAAGUAGCUGAGGCCUGGAUUUCAAUGAACCAUAACAGGGAACUUCCCAGGACAGGGUCCCAGCACCUGCUGCCUUGUUGUGUGACUAGCCAGACCGGUUUCCCUGUGGGAUUACUACCAACAGCCUCACAGGAGCAAAUUCAGAGAUCUAUAAUCAAUAGAGGGAAAAAGAUCUAGGCUGGAAGUUCUGGCACAAGAAUGAAGAACAAAUAAAAUGGCAAAUUGGGGUACUUCUAAGUAAAGAUGGCCACAUCAAAUAACAAACACAACAUCUAGGAGAGUGCUCCACACUGAAGCCAGCCACUGCCCACCCUUGUCUUCUGCUGCAAGCUGAGGGGCUGGAAGCGUUUGGUCAGAUGCCCAGGUGAGCAGGAUCCCGCUGCCGGCAGCGAGGAACAUCUGUCUCCACGAGAUGAGGAGAUGGCAGAGAUACAGAGGCCUCCUUGCUUCUAUCCCAGUAGCUGUGCCGGGCAGGUGAGGACACCAAGGGGCUUUGUUCCGCUGUCAGUAGUAGCUGCCUGCAGUUCCUAACGUUCCUCUACGCCUAUUUUGUUUCAGUAGGCUUUCCAACCAAUUUAUAACCGAAGGAAAUCUGCUUGACACACCUGGAGUAACCUCUGCUUCAUUGACUACACUUGCUGUUACACAAGCUCUGACACACACACCCUCACUCACACAAUGGAAUUAAAAUGCAUAGCGUUUACACUGGGAAAGAGUUAAUGAGGUCAAGUGAUUUAAAGUUCUUGCUUGUUUGGGAAGAAGGCAAAGGUUUCAAUUAACUUCUGACUGAUAUAUUAAGAAUGCAAGCUGUGCCUUCUGGGUAAUCACUAAGAUAAUGGAAAAAGAGUUUGAGAAAGUGGAAUUAAUUUUUUUAAAAUAGAUACAGUUAUUACAAAAGAAGGCAAGAAAGGUAAUAUGGAAUAAGCGAGACAACUAAAAAGCAAAACUAAGGGAGUAAAUUUAACUCACUUGUAUUAUAGGAUCAUCUAAUUUAGUUAAAAAUAAAGAUUUUCAGCAUAAAUUAAGAACAAAUGUGUUUUUUACAAGAAUACAUAAGAAUACACGAAAGAGUAAAAUAAGAUAAACCAUGAAACCCUAACAAAAGAUUGCCUUUGUAUAUUAUGUUGUCAUGUUCAUUGUAUUAAUAUCAGACAGAUAUUAAGACUACAAGU